CAAUUACGAUAUGUAUGGAUGAAAUUUUGUUUCCAGAGUAAGAAAAACUACAAUUUCAUUUUUCCUAUUAUUUUAGGUGCUUCUAGUAGAGUUUUUACCAAAGGCACAAAUCCUGAAGCCUGACUAAUUGACAGAUAUCAAAGAGUGGUCUCCGAUUUUGAACCCCUUCACAUUGGCCUUGCUGUGCAUAUCAAGUUUUAAAAGAACCAUAAAGAUUAGAGAGCACUUUAUGAUAGGUCUUACAGUUGAAGAAUGAAGAUGAAAUUUUAGCUUGUGUGAUUUCCAAAGCUGUGGUACACUUUCCCUUGUGGCAAAACAGUUGACUGUCUCAAGCAAUUGACACUUAUAUACAUCUCAUCAAGAUUUAUAUUCAUUAUGCAAGCUAAUGACGAUGCGUGGCAAUGUGAACUAGUCAACCAAUCAGUACAGAGUGGGUUGUACCCUUGUGUUCUCGGACUCAUACUACAGCAUAGGGUUUGGCCUAAGACGAAGUUUUGUGAUGGCCUUGAUCUUCUUUGAUGAACAAAUUGCUAAAUAUGUACCUUCAAGUUACCUUACAUUUACAGGUAAUCAAUCAUGUCGUUUGACAGCCCACAACCUGAGUCAUAAGCCAAUAAUCAAUAUGCUUUCUCUGCGCGUGUAUACGUUUCAAUCAUUCGACUGAAGAAAUUACUCUAUGCCAGAUUAAUAUAUUAUAUUUUUAUUGCUGUAAAUAGCUUUGUAACGCUAAAUGAAAUGUGUACGUUGUAUUUUUUCACCAGAUUAUAUUUGUAAAGAAUUAGGUCAAAUAUAUACAGUAUUUUACAGUUUUAAUUAAUUAAUAGUCUUCGAUAUAAAUUAAUUUUACAAUGCAUGUUGAUUGCUGUUUUUUGGGUAUAUUUCAAACAUGAAUGUUUUGGCGAUAUUGCAUCAUGACAAUCGUCGGCGUUUCCGAGUAUCAAUUCGGUUUUCGAUGGGAGACUUCCACUUUGAAUAAGUUCCAGAGGAAUGUUGUCCGAUGCAGGGGACUUCCAUGACCUCAUUUUUUUGACAUCCAGUGAUUCCAGUGGCAGUGUUGAGGUGGGUGUUGAGGAACGUUUCGAAGAAUGUCUUCAGUAGUGGAAUUUUUGUCCAAGAGAGUUUCAAAAGUUUAAUUCUCCCCAGUGUUUGAAGAUAUUCUGGCUGUCGGUGCAUGAUGAUUCCACUGUUACCGGCUGUUCUCAGUGUUCCUGUCGAGGAUAGAAUUGGUCCAUACAGUUCGUCUCGUGUAUCCUUUGUUUUUUCUUGCACCUAUUAUUCUGGAGCUCUCUUGUCUCCACGGAAGCGAGCUUUCUCGAUGUUUGACGCUAGAUCUCGUUGUAAAGCUGAUGGGCGAUGGUCUUUUUUAGCUGCUUCCGUAAAUGUUUUAGUGUGAUCCAUUCUUCAUCUACGUUUCUGGUGGUGUUGGUUGGAUUCCUAGAUAGUUUUUCUUUGAUGGUAGCGUGGAAUUCGACAGCAACAAGUUCAACAACUCUGGCCUGAAGCUUUGAGAUGUUGAACUUCUUUCUGGACGGAUUGAACGGACAGAUUAAGAUAGAUGGAUAUUUUGAGACGACUAAUCAGGAGUUUAUGAUUCGUCCAGCAGUCAUUUACAUUUCUUGCUGUCUUCAUGAUAAGAAUAUGAGGUAGUCAAUGACAUACAAAUGCUUGGAACGCGGGUGCAUCCAUGAUUCAUGUAGUUUUGAAGCGGGUUUGGCAAUCGGAACUGAGUGUUGGUAAUGAAAAGUUCCUGUUCUGCACACAUUCCAAGAAGCAGCAAUCCGUUAGUAUUAUAGCUUCCAUGACCUUGUUUUGCUAUCACGUCUUUUC
rnacentral:lncRNA from 1 species